rnacentral:rasiRNA from 1 species
GACUACAUACGAGGCGUAAUUGGCAAC